rnacentral:rRNA from 1 species
GCUCAGGACGAACGCUGGCGGCGUGCCUAAUACAUGCAAGUCGAGCGGACAUAUGGGAUGGUUUCUCGCUGAGGUUAGCGGCGGACGGCUGAGUAACCACAGGGUAACCGACCGGUAAGCAUGGGAUAACUCAGGGAAACCGGGGAUAAUACCGAAUGGUUCUUUGAACCGCAUGGUUCUAACAUAAAAGGUGGCUUCGGCUACCACUUACAGAUGGACCCGCGGUGCAUUAGCUAGUUGGUGAGGUAACGGCUCACCAAGGCAAGGAUGGGUAGCGGCCUUGAGAGGGUGAUCGGCCACACUGGUACUGAGACACGGUCCAGACUCCUACGGGAGGCAGCAGUAGGGAAUUUUCCGCAAUGGCAGCAAGUGGGACGGAGCAACGCCGCGUGAGUGAUGAAGGUUUUCGGAUCGUAAAACUGAGUUGUUCGGGAAGAACAAGUACCGUUUGAAUAGGGCGGUACCAUGACGGUACCUAACCAGAAAGCCCCGGCUAACUUCGUGCCAGCAGCCGCGGUAAUACGUAGGGGGCAAGCGUUGUCCGGAAUUAUUGGGCGUAAAGGGCUCGCAGGCGGUUUCUUAAGUCUGAUGUGAAAGCCCCCGGCUCAACCGGGGAGGGUCAUUGGAAACUGGGGAUCUUGAGUGCAGAAGAGGAGAGUGGAAUUCCACGUGUAGCGGUGAAAUGCGUAGAGAUGGGAGGAACACCAGUGGCGAAGGCGACUCUCUGGUCCGUAACUGACGCUGAGAGC